rnacentral:rRNA from 1 species
UACGUAGGGUGCGAGCGUUGUCCGGAAUUAUUGGGCGUAAAGAGCUUGUAGGCGGUUUUUCGCGUCUGCCGUGAAAAUCCGAGGCUCAACCUCGGACUUGCGGUGGGUACGGGCAGACUAGAGUGUGGUAGGGGAGACUGGAAUUCCUGGUGUAGCGGUGAAAUGCGCAGAUAUCAGGAGGAACACCGAUGGCGAAGGCAGGUCUCUGGGCCACUACUGACGCUGAGAAGCGAAAGCAUGGGGAGCGAACAGG